ACUCCCCCGGUUUAGGGUUCAUUUCAUAACUCGUCCGUCAAACCCCCAGAAAAAAUUUCAUCUUUGUGAUGCAUCAUUCAGACUUGUAAUCAGAGAUCGAAAGAUGCUUAGGCUGAGAAGCAGCAAUGGCUUCCCAAAGCAAUUCAUUACAUCAUCAGUAUAUACUUCUUUCAACCAUCUACUUCAAUUCUCAGAUUUUGCAUCAACAACAACAACAUCUAUAAACCCUGAAACCCAAAAUGAUUCACCUCUAAGAAGCUCAACUGGAUUCAGAGAUGCCCAAAUCAGGUGCCUUCUUUCUCCCUCUACUACUUUACUUGCUUCUCAUGUAGAAAAAACUGGAAAACCUAAGGUUUUCAAAGAUUUGGGGUUACCAGUUCCAGCUAUUCAGAGAUCAAAUUGGUUGAUUCAACCCAAUAUAUUGUCCUUAACUAAGAAAUGUGGUAUAUCUGAUGACAAAAAUCAGAAAUUUCUUUUAAGUAAUGUUAGACAUUUGAUGAAUAAGCCCGAUAGAGUUGAUGAUGUUGAUGAGAAAAACACUGAUGAAGAGAGGGAUUUGAUUAAGAAAGGUCCAAAUUCACCUCUGCAAACCAUUCUAGGAGAAGCUCGAAUUCGUUUCAUGUGGACAUCGUUUGGUCUUGGUAUGACAUGGUUUACAUGUUACUGGUUUUCAGAAGAAUUCAUAUUCCUAUUAGCUAAACCAUUUCUGACUUUGAAUUCGGAUUCACAUUUUGUUUGUAUACAAUUGACGGAGGCAUUGUCGACGUAUCUUGCAACGGCUUCGAUAGCAUGUGCUUACUUUGUGUUUCCAUUGAUUAGUUAUCAGUUGUGGAGCUUUCUGAUACCAAGCUGUUAUGAAGAACAAAGGAUGAGAUACAAUAGGGUCUUUCAUUUAAGUGGUUUUUCGUUCGCUUUCUUCACGUGCCUUACUUUUUCAUAUGUGGUUCCGAAUAUUUGGCAUUUCUUAUACUCCAUGGGUGCAACAUCAACCAAUUUGCUCAUGAUCACGUUACAACCUAAGAUUUAUGAUUAUAUCAUGUUGACUCUUCGAAUUUCGUUGAUUUCGUCGGUCUGUUCCCAGGUGCCUGUCCUUUUGAUCUCUUUGCUAGAACAAAAGGCUAUUUCUGUGGAAAGCUUUACGAACAAUCGUCGUUAUUUAAUGCUUUUUUCUCUUUUCACGGCUGCUCUUUCCACACCUCCGGAUAUCUGGUGUCAAAUUGUUGCCUGUUCUGUUCUUUAUUCAACCAUAGAGUUGGCUAUGUUCGUGGCAUUGGUUAAACAAGUUCGUGAAGGAGUGGAAUGAGGUUGUUUACCGGCUAAUCUCGCUCUUCAAGUUUUUGUAAGGAUAUUUGGAGAUGGUUGUGUAAUGUGUUCCACUUUCAAAUAUCUGGCGGUUUUUCUGACAUCUUCUCCGGGGCUAAGAAUAAGAGUCCUGUUGUUAAGGAAAUUUGGGUUGCUGCUGCCUUAUGUACAAUUGCGGAGUUGUGGUUAUUCAUAAAUAGAGUUGUUUUCGAGGAGUCUGGCAUUGACAGGAGGAAGCUGAAAAUUAGAUUUGUCUUUUAACCAAAGAAUAUGGAUUGAGAUUGAAAGGUGAUAGGUGGUCUGAGCUUUAUGAUGGUCAAUUCUGCAAUUGUUUGGGAUAAUGAGCAGGAGAAUGAAACUUGUGAGAGCAAUUCAGUGUACCUUGGGAUCUUCCAGUUGAAGGCUUUAUUAUCAUUUGCUACAAUGGUGCAGCGAAAGGAAAUCCAGGUGCCUCAAACUUUGGUUUUAUUGCCAGAAAUCACUUUGAUCUUGUGUUAAGAGCUGUAGCUGGGGGUUCGUGUUGUGCCUCUAACUGCUUAGCUGAAAUUCUGUCUAUUAUGAUUUCUUUUGAGUGGGCCUAACAAUCAGGAAUUGAAGGUGGUUUUAAUUUCGUCAGACUCAAGUGAAGCUAUUCAUGCUUUUAUGGCAAGUAAAUAAUUACUAGCUCAAGCUGAUGUGUAUUGAAAUAUGUUUAUUCAUUCGGCCUUCGCUGCAUGUGUUGUGAGUGCCGAAAAGGGGAAGAUACCACUUAAACAUAACUGAACUUUGUUAGUGUCUGUCCAUUUGCACACACAUAAUCCAGUUUUUGUUAAUUGAUACAUCAUCUAUGAAUUAAAUCUGUUACAGAGAUCCUGUGCAUCACAAUUUCAUGCUUCACUCUAUGAAGGUUUGGUGGUGCCAUGGUGGAGCUCGAUACUGUCCCGAGCUUGCAGUUUGUUAAGAAUUCUGUUCUUGGAUAUGCGUCAGUGUUAUUUAAUGGAGUUCGAGCUUCCCCUGACUUAUAUAUUCCAGCCAUUACAAAACAAGAACAAAGUUCUACUCAAGAGAAUUAUGGAAUUGAUCGUGUAUGGAAAAUAAGGCAUAAUGUGGCUGCUGAUCUCAGUGGAGGUCGGAUCAUGAUGUUGAAAAAGUUGAAGUUUAAAUCGCUUAUUCGAUUGAAAAAAAGAAGGAGGCGUUUCCAUCUGAUGCUGUUAUUGGCUCAAUAUAGCAAAUAAAGUUGAGCCACAUCUUAUUAGCUUUCGGUGUAAUAGAUCCUGUAAAACCGAACGCAGAGCAAUUUCAUUCCUUCAUCAUUACGAGCAUAAUGGUGACCAGCGACAUUUGGACUAAAACAAAUGCCAUAUCCAAGGAAGUUGGACUGUUACAAUGUUCGCAGAGGCAGACCCACUUAGAAAAGCUGAUAAAAUCGAAGAUUUGCAGAAAUACUGCUUCUGGAUAAGAGUCUGAAAUUUGGUGGAGACAACUUGCUUUGGUGGAGAGAUAAGAGUCUGGAAUUUGGAAGAUAUUACCAUUAAGAAUUUUCAGUUGCAUGCUACUGGAUGGAAAUGGAAGCUCUCAAAAGGUUUAGGUGGCAAUGGUAUUUCUUAGAUUCGAAACAAGACAACACUUGGCUUGUUUCCAGGGUUCCUUUGCGGUUAGGGUGGAGGGCUGAAUAUAGAAAUUCAAAGCUGUUGGCUUUGGGGAACCAAUUUUCAAUAUCAACUCAGGAAAGUUGCAAGCAUCACUAGACAGGGUAGAAGCAAUUCUAAUUAAUACAGAUUAUAUUUUCCAGAAUAAAUCAGGUUCGCUUUCAAGAUUGGAUUUUUUUUGUGCGAAGUUAUUUUUGAUUUUAGGUAGGAACAUUUGCAGAGAAGGAAACCGUGUGUAAUGUGUAAUUGUCUUUUUUGAUGCAAAGCUUGUCAUAAGUGUCGUGUCAAGUAAUACUAGUGGUGUCAUCGACUAUCGUUGCAGGACGAUGCAAUGAAUAUAACGGCAAAACCAUCACAAAGGGCCACCUGGAAGAGAAACAACACCGUUUCUCUCUAUCGUUACCAUUAGAUUUUAGUUGCCAUGUUAGCUUGUUUUGGAUUUCUAUGGAAGUUACAAUUUUGUGGUUCUAUAGAUUGCUGUUACUCCUUGAUGCUUAAGCUACUCUACUUUUGAAGUGAAAUUAGAUACUACUCCUUGAUGCUUAAGCUACUCUACUAGUAUUUCUUUCAGAAGUAGAGUAGCUUAAGAACGCGGAACGUCAAGUCGAACUUGUCACCAAAAUCUAUUUUCCCUUGAAAAGUAGAGUAGCUUAAGCAUGGAUUCUAAAUUAGAUACUACUAGCAUUAUCUUUUCUUUUUCAUUUAAGCUAUAUAACUUAAGUGUUCUUGGUUCAAAAAAAAAAAAAAAAAAAACUGAAGUGUUCAUUUGAUUUAUCACCGGAAUGUUUGCCAUGGUCUAUCAAAUGAGUGGUAGGCAUGUAUCAUUAACCUUGUUGGGUAAAUGCAAGUGCAACUGACUGUUGAUUAUAUGACUGUUUGCUCAUCCCAGUAGUGUCCAUGUUAUAUAUGCAAAGUAACUCAUGGCAUGAAGGAUGAUGCAUCCUAAGCAUUUUUUGAUCAGAGACCUUAAUGAGAGUCAGAUCCAGAUGAAUCAGGUGAUCUGAGUCAGAUUCAGUUGAAAGACUAACGUUUCUCUUACAUGUGUUGGCUAAAAAAUGAACAAGCUCUUGCCGUGUCAAUUAUCAAACAGUUUUACUCUUCCAAGUCGAAGACAAAUGUGGAAGCCCA